rnacentral:lncRNA from 1 species
GUUACAUGAAAGGGUGGCUUAAUUAAGGCUCUCCAUUUUAUUUUAGGCAUGUCAAGCACAGUGAUAUCAAGUUCAAAUUUAACUGUGCUUCAAAUUCAGCAACUGAAAUCUCUCUUAGCAGGUCAAGGUCAACAUAGCUGACAUAAACCUGAUAUGUGGAUCAGAGAUGGUUUUCGUGGAGGACAUGGGCAUAUUCAAGACUCUUUUAAGAGAACAGUUCUCCUUUAUGUCCCAGUCAAGAGAAAGAGGAACCAAGCCCUGUGUGAAAAACUUGCCAGGAUCCCAGUUUCCUGAUCCAUUAAGAUGCGAACAAGAUACACCGAGAG